CUUUCUCACAACGAGGCAGGAUUUGCUUGGCAGAAAUGUAAGCCAGUGCCCCCCAUCAUCUCCACUUACGUGCUUCUUCUACCACAUCAAAGGGUCAAAUACUCCCAGAAAGUGAAUGCCCCAGCCCUGCCCUGGGCGAGGCUCUGCCCCUGCCGAGGACAUCUGAGGGACUGCAGGAGGAAUCAUCCCAAGAGGUCCCGCUGGCCCAUGGCUCAGCUUUCUGUGUAAAGUAUGCCCCGAUGAUGAAGAAGAAGAAAACCAGCUCAGCCCAGAUUAUUCCAUUAAACACAGCCUCUGGUCACUGGAGAGAAGCGGAAGCACAAAGUCGGGUUCACAGAUCUGUUGCACACAGAGACUGUAUUGAGAGUCGUGUUAAAAAUAUCUGGGUGACUGUAAGCCUGAAACCAUUUUGUGUCUAAAACUGAUUUCCAUUUCCUUUUCCUUUCUUUUGUUUUUGUUCCACUUGUUAUAAAAAGGCCUUUCCACAACCCUCCACCAUGGUGCUCCGCACUCAGCUCUUCUAAGGCUGGAGUGACCCUCGGCAGACAGAAGAUGAAGGGUUUUUGCAGCAGAGGAUCCAAGCCCCAUCCCCUGCUGCCUGUCCCUGUGCUGAGUGACCUUGUGGCUAUUACUAGAAAUGCAUGAAUAGCCUUUUCUCUUGCUGAUGGGCUCAGCAGCCGGUCAUGCAGCAGUAUAGAGCGGGUCUUUGUGAGAGCAGCGUGCACACGGGUUCCUCAGCUGCCUCCUGCAUCUCGUUGCUUUCUGCAUCCAGUUCACAAGGGCAGAAGACAAGGAGCUGUGUGGGAGGCACCCCUAUAGGCGCGGGCUGCCCUCAGGCUCUCCCCUCUAGCCUGGCUCAUACCUGAGCAGGGGGAUCAUCUGCUCCGGAAAGACGGCUGCAAAAGCUGUCUGAGAUUUCUUUGCCACUUUCAUCUCCUCAUUUCCUCCCAUCCAG
ensembl:lncRNA